UCCUACGGGAGGCAGCAGUGAGGAAUCUUGCGCAAUGGGCGAAAGCCUGACGCAGCCACGCCGCGUGCCGGAUGAAGGCCCUAUGGGUUGUAAACGGCUUUUAAGCAGGAAGAACGACCGGAUUUCGAUCUGGUGUGACGGUACUGCUUGAAUAAGCACCGGCUAACUCCGUGCCAGCAGCCGCGGUAAUACGGAGGGUGCAAGCGUUGUCCGGAAUCAUUGGGUGUAAAGGGUGCGUAGGCGGGCGUCUAAGUCUGGGGUGAAAUCUUGCCGCUUAACGGUAAAAUGGCCUUGGAUACUGGGCGUCUUGAGUGUAGAAGAGGUAAGUGGAAUUCGUAGUGUAGCGGUGAAAUGCAUAGAUAUUACGAAGAACAUCAGUGGCGAAGGCGGCUUACUGGUCUACAACUGACGCUGAGGCACGAAAGCGUGGGGAGCGAACAGGAUUAGAUACCCUGGUAGUCCACGCUGUAAACGAUGCAUACUAGGUGUUGGCCUUUCGGGGCCAGUGCUGCAGUUAACGCAUUAAGUAUGCCACCUGGGGAGUACGUCGGCAACGAUGAAACUCAAAUGAAUUGACGG
rnacentral:rRNA from 1 species